GACGAACGCUGGCGGCGUGCCUAAUACAUGCAAGUAGAACGCUGAAGGAGGAGCUUGCUUCUCUGGAUGAGUUGCGAACGGGUGAGUAACGCGUAGGUAACCUGCCUUGUAGCGGGGGAUAACUAUUGGAAACGAUAGCUAAUACCGCAUAAGAGUAGAUGUUGCAUGACAUUUGCUUAAAAGGUGCAAUUUCAUCACUACCAGAUGGACCUGCGUUGUAUUAGCUAGUUGGUGGGGUAACGGCUUACCAAGGCGACGAUACAUAGCCGACCUGAGAGGGUGAUCGGCCACACUGGGAUUGAGACACGGCCCAGACUCCUACGGGAGGCAGCAGUAGGGAAUCUUCGGCAAUGGACGGAAGUCUGACCGAGCAACGCCGCGUGAGGGAAGAAGGUUUUCGGAUCGUAAAGCUCUGUUGUAAGAGAAGAACGAGUGUGAGAGUGGAAAGUUCACACUGUGACGGUAUCUUACCAGAAAGGGACGGCUAACUACGUG
rnacentral:rRNA from 1 species